UGAAGGCUCUGACUUCAGCCAUCUCUUCUUAGGGCUGCACAGGACGCCUUCCUGCAUUUUGAUGAUGCUCCCACCGGCUCAGGAUAAGGCCCACAGGACGCAGCAAUACAGCCUGAAGAAACAGGCAGUGUCCUCAGAGAUCCCCAUCUGCCUCGUGGGAGGCGCAGACAUGACCUGCCAUCCUGAAGACAACAGCCUAGUGGACGUCACCCCCUGGCGACCUUUCAAAGCAGUAUCUUCCCAUUCUGCCCGGUCCUGCUCGGGAGGGGGCUGGAUCCAGAGUUGAAGGAGAGCCCAAGCCCUCUGGAGAAGCACACGCAGAAAUCACGGUGACAAGCUGUCCCUUCAGUCUGCAGGUGCAGAGUCGGGGCACCUGGGCUCAGACUCCAAUUCUGCCACCUACCACCGAUCUGAACCUCCCUGCACCUCUGUUCCCUCAUCUGUAAAACCGGGAGAAGACACCCACCCCUUCUGGCCAUGGAAGGGAUUCAAUGAGUUAACCUACAUAAAGGGCUUAAGAGGUGUAGGCGGGACCCUGGUAAGUAGUCAAUGCUGAGCGAACAUUAGCCAGAAAUGGUAAUGAUUUGUUGAGUUGAAAUGAAACCCUGCCCUCGUUCUAGAGAAUUUUCAUAUGAAGAGGGAGAUACUUUCUGUUGAUCUUCAGGAGACUUUCUUAAAUAAGGAGGCUCCCCCCCCCGCCCAUGCCUCCCCAGCUUCCAUUAAAGGAGAGUAGCCCCUCAACAGAAGCUGUCAAAAUCAUCUCCUUUCUUUCUUAGCUUCAAAGUAACCAUGAAC